rnacentral:rRNA from 1 species
UACGUAGGGUGCAAGCGUUGUCCGGAAUUAUUGGGCGUAAAGAGCUCGUAGGCGGUCUGUCGCGUCGGCUGUGAAAUCCCGGAGCUCAACUCCGGGUCUGCAGUCGAUACGGGCAAACUGGAGUACUGCAGGGGAGACUGGAAUUCUCGGUGUAGCAGUGAAAUGCGUAGAUAUCGAGAGGAACACCAGUGGCGAAGGCGAGUCUCUGGACGACACCUGACACUGAGGCACGAAAGCUAGGGGAGCAAACAGG